rnacentral:lncRNA from 1 species
AAGACUUUUGCUGUAUUAACAGAUGUGAAGUGGCAACCAGGUAGACAGUUUUGGGAGUUCUGUUUUUACUGAAACCGUAUGGUAAGAGAAGCCAGUACAAGGUAAUAAUAUUUUGUUAUCUGCAAUGCCAGUCUUCAGAUGAUUGUUUUUCUUGGAAAUAGCUAAACUGUUGGGGAAAAUUAAACAUUGAGAUCGAAGUUCUAGUGACUGUUGAUAAAACAAGGGAAAUAAACCAUUUUUAUAAUUACCUUUAAAACAUACCGAUAGCCUUCUAACAUUACCAGUGAGACAUUGUUCAUUAGGACUUGGUUAUUUCCCUAUCACAUGACUGAGGAUUAGUAACAGGAAGGGAAAGCCCCAUUCUCGUUCCUAGUGUUUGAAUCUAGUGUUUAAUCUUCGAUCCUAACAAUUCACAUCACUGCCCUCUUCUUGAUGCUGAGUAUUUGGCAGGUACUUAACAAAUCCUGGUUGAUUCCUGAAAACCUGAGGUAGAAGAUUAUGAUUUCAAUUAAAUUAAGGACUGGCCUCAGUGGAGAGAAGUGUAUUCUUGGAGAACAGGAGAAGCAGCGGGGUUGGUGCAAGGCUGACGAGUGCGGUUCAGGUGAAACAUUCACAUGGAAAAUCUCCCUCCCCUUCUUGUCCUCAUCUGCAAAGACACCCAUUCCCCGUGCCAUAGGUAAGUAACAUUCCUAAUUUUUUAUGUGUCCUUCCAGAAUUACAUGUGCAUAUGUAAGUAAA